AGCAGCCGCGGUAAUUCCAGCUCCAAUAGCGUAUAUUAAAGUUGUUGCAGUUAAAAAGCUCGUAGUUGAAUUUCGGGAUUGACACAUCGGUCGUGCCUUAAGGGGUAUGAACUGGUGUAGUCAAUUUCUCACCUUCUGGAGAACCGCGAUGCCCUUAAUUGGGUGUCACGGGGAACCAGGACCUUUACUUUGAAAAAAUUAGAGUGUUUAAAGCAGGCAUUUUGCUUGAAUACAUUAGCAUGGAAUAAUAAAAUAGGACGGCAUGAUUCUAUUUUGUUGGUUUCUAGGAUCACCGUAAUGAUUAAUAGGGAUAGUUGGGGGCAUUAGUAUUCAAUUGUCAGAGGUGAAAUUCUUGGAUUUAUUGAAGACUAACUACUGCGAAAGCAUUUGCCAAGGAUGUUUUCAUUAAUCAAGAACGAAAGUUAGGGAUCGAAGACGAUCAGAUACCGU
rnacentral:rRNA from 1 species